AUUGAACGCUGGCGGCAUGCCUUACACAUGCAAGUCGAACGGUAACAGGUCUUCGGAUGCUGACGAGUGGCGAACGGGUGAGUAAUACAUCGGAACGUGCCCAAUCGUGGGGGAUAGCUCGGCGAAAGCCGGAUUAAUACCGCAUACGAUCUACGGAUGAAAGCAGGGGACUCGCAAGGGCCUUGCGCGAAUGGAGCGGC
rnacentral:rRNA from 1 species